AACGCUAGCGACAGGCCUAACACAUGCAAGUCGAGGGGCAGCACAAGGAGCAAUCUGAGGUGGCGACCGGCGGCACGGGUGAGUAACACGUAUGCAACCUGCCUGUAAGCGGGGAAUAACCCGUUGAAAGACGGACUAAUACCGCAUAAUACUAAAUUACUGCAUGGUAAUUUAUUUAAACAUUUAUGGCUUACAGAUGGGCAUGCGCAUGAUUAGCUAGUUGGAGAGGUAACGGCUCCCCAAGGCAACGAUCAUUAGGGGUUCUGAGAGGAAGGUCCCCCACACUGGUACUGAGACACGGACCAGACUCCUACGGGAGGCAGCAGUGAGGAAUAUUGGUCAAUGGACGAGAGUCUGAACCAGCCAAGUCGCGUGCAGGAAGAAUUGUCCUAUGGGUUGUAAACUGCUUUUGCAGGGGAAUAAAGUGCAUCACGUGUGAUGUUUUGUAUGUACUCUGCGAAUAAGGAUCGGCUAACUCCGUGCCAGCCGCCGC
rnacentral:rRNA from 1 species